rnacentral:rRNA from 1 species
CCUACGGGCGGCAGCAGUAGGGAAUAUUGCUCAAUGGGGGAAACCCUGAAGCAGCAACGCCGCGUGGAGGAUGAAGGUUUUCGGAUUGUAAACUCCUUUUGUUAGAGAAGAUUAUGACGGUAUCUAACGAAUAAGCACCGGCUAACUCCGUGCCAGCAGCCGCGGUAAUACGGAGGGUGCAAGCGUUACUCGGAAUCACUGGGCGUAAAGAGUGCGUAGGCGGGGUCAUAAGUCAGAUGUGAAAUCCUGUGGCUUAACUACAGAACUGCAUUUGAAACUGUUACUCUGGAGUGUGGGAGAGGUAGGUGGAAUUCUUGGUGUAGGGGUAAAAUCCGUAGAGAUCAAGAGGAAUACUCAUUGCGAAGGCGACCUGCUGGAACAUUACUGACGCUGAUGCACGAAAGCGUGGGGAGCAAACAGGAUUAGAUACCCGAGUAGUC